AAAAUUUGUUAUUGAAAUUUAAUUUAAACUGUUUCUUAUCUGUUUUUAAAGGUAGUUUUAAGUUUUAAGUAAAAAAUUAUUUUUUUAAAAAUAAGUAAAAUAAUGAACAUUUAAUAUAGAUUAUAGCUUAGUUUUGUACUGUAAAGGAUGUAUUUAAAAUUAAAGUAAAGAAAAAAUUAAUUUUUGUACCUUUUGUAUCAGGGUUGAUCAAAAUAUUUAGUUUAUUUAUUGAAAUCUCGAAGUAAAAUGAGUGAGUAAAUUAUUAUUAUUUAUGUAAAAAAAUGAAAUUAUUAAUAAUUUAUUAGUGAUGAAAUGUCAGUCGAUUUUUAUAUAUCUAGUUUUUUUUGAAACAAAUUUAAUUUGAUUUUUUAUUUUAAAAUGUAAAAAUUAUACUUUAAGAGGGAUAAGCUUCUUAAGUAAAUAAAUAUAAUGACAACAAACUAUUAUCUUUUAUUUAGGCUUAAAAUCAGCUAUAUUUUUAUAUCGUUUUAGAAAAUAAGAUUAUUAUUCGUUAUUUUUAUGUCAUUUAUUAUUAAGUAAAAAAAAAAUUAUUUUAGUUUAUUUUAUAAUUAUACAAUGAUUAUAUUAGUAAAUUUAUUUUGUGGAAUAAAAAAUUAGACUUUAAGUUUAAGUUAUAUUAAUCGUAGUUAAGUUAUAGUUGAGGAACUCGGCAAAUUUUACUUCUGCCUGUUUAUCAAAAACAUGUCUGUGUGAAUAAUAAUAUACAGUCUGGCCUGCCCACUGAAAUAUUUAAAGGGCCGCGGUAUUUGAACCGUGCUAAGGUAGCAUAAUAAAUAGUCUUUUAAUUGAGGUCUAGUAUGAAUGGUCGGACAUGAAGUAAUCUGUUUUAAUUAUAAGAUUUGAAUUUUACUUUUAAGUGAAAAGGCUUAAAUUAUAUGAUGGGACGAUAAGACCCUAUAAAGCUUUACGUUUUAUUUAUUUGUUGGAGAGUUUAAGGUUUUCUAUUUUUGUAAAUUAAAACGUUUCGUUGGGGCGACGAAAAUAUAAAAAGUAACUGUUUUAUUAUUAAAAUAAAUUUUUUUUAGGUAAUUUGAUCCUUUAUAGAGAUUAAAAGAAUUAAGUUACUUUAGGGAUAACAGCGUAAUUUUUCUUGAGAGUUCUUAUCGACAGAAGUAGUUGCGACCUCGAUGUUGAAUUAAGAUACCCCCAGGGUGUAGAAGUUUUGGUGGUAGGUCUGUUCGACCUUUAAAA
rnacentral:rRNA from 1 species